rnacentral:rRNA from 1 species
GAUGAACGCUGGCGGCGUGCCUAAUACAUGCAAGUCGAGCGAAUGGAUUAAGAGCUUGCACUUAUGAAGUUAGCGGCGGACGGGUGAGUAACACGUGGGUAACCUGCCCAUAAGACUGGGAUAACUCCGGGAAACCGGGGCUAAUACCGGAUAACAUUUUGAACCGCAUGGUUCGAAAUUGAAAGGCGGCUUCGGCUGUCACUUAUCGAUGGACCCGCGUCGCAUUAGCUAGUUGGUGAGGUAACGGCUCACCAAGGCAACGAGGCGUAGCCCACCUGAGAGGGUGAUCGGCCACACUGGGACUGAGACACGGCCCAGACUCCUACGGGAGGCAGCAGUAGGGAAUCUUCCGCAAUGGACGAAAGUCUGACGGAGCAACGCCGCGUGAGUGAUGAAGGCUUUCGGGUCGUAAAACUCUGUUGUUAGGGAAGAACAAGUGCUAGUUGAAUAAGCUGGCACCUUGACGGUACCUAACCAGAAAGCCACGGCUAACUACGUGCCAGCCGCCGCCGUAA